GAGACAAAUACGGCGUGCCAAAGACAUAUUGGGUGUCUCAAAAUCACUGAGAACUCUGUAGCUCAAAACUUAAGCCCUGCACUCUUUUAGAUCUACCCCGUUGAGUGGCAUUCUUGUGAAAAUUAUGUAAAGAUAUUUAUCAGAAUAAGGUAGAAGUGUAGGGGGUGGCAGGUGAGGUGCAGAAGAAGAAGAAGAAGAAGAAGUUGUACCUAUCCAGUAAUUUUAUCUUGAUUUGUGGACUAGACGAAGACUAGAUUUUGAUGAAGAAAUCGACAAACUUGAACUGCAGGACUCGUGGCGCUGCUCGCCUCCUCGCCAAUGCGAAUG
rnacentral:lncRNA from 1 species